rnacentral:rRNA from 1 species
CAGUAGCCGCGGGAAUACGUAGGUCCCGAGCGUUGUCCGGAUUUAUUGGGCGUAAAGGGAGCGCAGGCGGUUUAGUAAGUCUGAAGUUAAAGGCAUUGGCUCAACCAAUGUAUGCUUUGGAAACUGUUAGACUUGAGUGCAGAAGGGGAGAGUGGAAUUCCAUGUGUAGCGGUGAAAUGCGUAGAUAUAUGGAGGAACACCGGUGGCGAAAGCGGCUCUCUGGUCUGUCACUGACGCUGAGGCUCGAAAGCGUGGGUAGCGAACAGGAUUAGAUACCCCGGUAGUCCCUGUCUCUUAUACA